CAUUUUAGCAUACAUGUUGACUCUGGCAGCAAUAUAUAUUCUGUACGUUGCCUAGCUCCAUUCCAACCUAUUCAUACAGGAGUGCUGUGCCUGCUUUGGAACUGCCUUGCGCUAUUUUCACAGAUUUGGCAAAACAGACAAGCAUCUCCUAGGACUGACACCAAUAUAACUGAUUCAGCCUUAUAAGUAAGAGGAAGAACUUAAAGACGUCUUCAGAUCCUUACCAGUAUUCUGAUGAUUUCUCUCCCACAUCCCUCAGUGUGGAGGGCGAUGGUAGAAUGGCUAAGUGGUUCUGAGCUGCUUCCAGGUUAAACCACAGCACUUCUAUUUGAAAUUGUCUUCCUACUUUAAGUAAUGUUCCUAGUUUAAGUAAUGUUCCUACUGGUAACAUAACCAGUGAAAUUGUUCCAUAUCAAAGAUAAAUAUAUAUUUAUAUAUAUAUAUAAUUCUACAUAACCUGUUAAUUUUUUGUUGUUGUUGUUUUAAUGAAUAAACAUUUUGGUCUAUAUAUUUGUCAAAGUUUUCUCCUGGCUUUACGAGUCUAACACAUGCAAUCUAUCGGUCACUGAGAGCUCAUUUGCUGCAGUAACGUUCUUUGACUGCUACAAAGAGGGGAGAGGGGGGGGGAUGGACCAGCAAUUUUUUGAAAUGUUAUUCCAUGGCAAAUUUGGCCAAAGAAUAUGCUGUACUUAAACCAUGACUGCAGGAUAGCAUACACAUACCUCAUUGCUUGCAGCAGUUUUUUCAUUUGGCCCUCACUCAUUUUCU
ensembl:lncRNA